rnacentral:rRNA from 1 species
AUGAACACGCUCGUCGGGCCACUCCCCGACGCGCUGGCCGACCUCCCGGACCUCGUCUACCUCAGCCUCGAGGCCAACAACUUCUCCGGGCCCAUCCCGGAGUCCUUCGGCACCUUCAAGAAGCUCCAGUCGCUCUCGCUCGUCAACAACCUGCUCGGCGGCAAGGUCCCGGCGUUCCUCGGCCGCGUCUCCACGCUCCGGGAGCUCAACAUGUCCUACAACCCGUUCGCUCCGGGCCCAGUGCCGGCCGAGCUCGGCGACCUCCCCGCGCUGCGCGUGCUCUGGCUCGCCGGCUGCAACCUCGUCGGCUCCAUCCCGGCGUCUCUCGGCCGGCUCGCCAACCUCACCGACCUCGACCUGUCGCUGAACGCGCUCACCGGCCCGAUACCACCGCAGAUUGCCGUUCUGACAAGCGCCGUUCAGAUCGAGCUGUACAACAACUCGCUCUCCGGCCCAAUCCCGAAGGGAUUCGGCAAGCUCGCGGAGCUCAGGAGCAUAGACAUCUCCAUGAACCGCCUCGGCGGCGCCAUCCCGGAUGACCUGUUCAAGGCGCCAAAGCUGGAGAGCCUGCACCUGUACUUGAACUCGCUCACAGGGCCCGUGCCGGAGUCCGCGGCGAAGGCGUCCUCGCUCGUUGAGUUGCGCCUGUUCUCGAACCGGCUGAACGGCACGCUGCCGGCCGACCUCGGCAAGAACACGCCGCUGGUGUGCCUGGACCUGUCCGACAACUCCAUCUCCGGCGAGAUCCCAAGGGGCAUAUGCGACCGCGGCGAGCUGGAGGAGCUGUUGAUGCUCAAUAAUGCGCUCACUGGGCGCAUCCCCGAGGGGCUCGGGCGGUGCCAUAGGCUGCGACGGGUCCGGCUGUCCAAGAACAGGCUCGACGGCGACGUGCCCGGCGCGGUCUGGGGCCUGCCGCACAUGGCGCUUCUCGAGCUCAACGACAACCAGCUCAGCGGGGAGAUCUCCCCGGUCAUCGCCGGCGCGGCCAACCUGUCCAAGCUGGUUAUCUCCAACAACCGGCUGACCGGGAGCAUCCCCUCGGAAAUUGGAUCCGUCGCCAAGCUGUACGAGCUAUCGGCAGACGGCAACAUGCUCUCUGGACCUCUUCCCUCCUCUCUUGGCAGCCUAGCAGAACUCGGCCGGCUCGUCCUCCACAACAACUCGCUAUCUGGUCAGUUGCUCCGGGGAAUCCGUUCUUGGAAGCAGCUUAGCGAGCUCAACCUCGCCGACAAUGGCUUCACCGGAGCCAUACCACCGGAGCUGGGUGACUUGCCGGUGCUCAACUACCUUGACCUCUCCGGCAACCGUCUCACCGGCCAAGUACCAGCUCAACUGGAGAACCUGAAGCUGAACCAGUUCAACGUCUCCAACAACCAGCUCAGUGGCCAGCUUCCACCCCAGUAUGCAACGGAAGCAUACCGCAGCAGCUUCUUGGGCAAUCCGGGGCUGUGCGGAGACAUUGCCGGUCUGUGCUCUGCCUCGCAAGGAAGUUCAGGGAACCACUCUGCCAUUAUCUGGAUGAUGCGCUCGAUAUUCAUAUUCGCGGCUGUCGUCUUGGUCGCCGGCGUGGCAUGGUUCUACUGGAGGUACCGGAGCUUCAACAAAGCGAAACUGAAGGCCGAGCGCUCGAAAUGGACACUGACAUCCUUCCACAAGGUGUCGUUCAGCGAGCAUGAUAUCCUGGACUGCGUUGAUGAGGACAAUGUCAUCGGCAGCGGUGCAUCUGGGAAGGUGUACAAGGCGGUGCUCGGCAACGGCGAGGUGGUCGCCGUCAAGAAGCUGUGGGGCGGCGCGGCGAAGAAGGACGUCGAGAACGCCGGCGAGGGGUCGGCGGCCGACAACAGCUUCGACGCCGAGGUGAGGACGCUUGGCAAGAUCCGGCACAAGAACAUCGUCAAGCUCCUGUGCUGCUGCACGCACAAUGACUCCAAGAUGCUGGUGUACGAGUACAUGCCCAACGGCAGCCUCGGGGACGUGCUGCACAGCAGCAAGGCCGGUCUGCUGGACUGGCCGACGCGGUACAAGAUUGCGCUGGACGCAGCCGAGGGGCUGUCCUACCUGCACCAGGACUGCGUGCCGGCGAUCGUCCACAGGGAUGUCAAGUCCAACAACAUCCUCUUGGAUGCAGAGUUCAGCGCUUGCGUCGCGGAUUUCGGUGUCGCCAAGGUGGUGGAGAUGGCUGUCCGGGCGCCCAAGUCCAUGUCGGUGAUCGCUGGCUCCUGCGGUUACAUUGCUCCUGAGUACGCGUACACGCUCCGUGUCAACGAGAAGAGCGACAUAUACAGCUUCGGCGUGGUGCUCCUGGAGCUGGUGACCGGGAAGCCGCCGGUCGACCCAGAGUUCGGCGAGAAGGACCUGGUGAAGUGGGUGUGCAGCACCAUUGAUCAGAAAGGGGUAGAGCACGUCCUGGACAGCAGGCUCGACAUGGCCUUCAAGGAGGAGAUCAGCAGGGUCCUGAACAUCGGCCUCAUCUGCGCGAGCUCGCUGCCGAUCAAUCGCCCGGCGAUGCGGAGGGUGGUGAAGAUGCUGCAGGAGGUGCGCGCCGACGCGAGGCCGAAGCUGGACAAGGACGGCAAGCUGUCGCCGUACUACUACGACGACACCUCUGAUCAAGGCAGCAGUGUCUAG